UAAUACGUAGGGUGCAAGCGUUAAUCGGAAUUACUGGGCGUAAAGCGUACGCAGGCGGCUUUGCAAGACAGGUGUGAAAUCCCCGGGCCUAACCUGGGAACUGCAUUUGUGACUGCAUGGCUAGAGUUUGUCAGAGGGGGGUGGAAUUCCACGUGUAGCAGUGAAAUGCGUAGAUAUGUGGAGGAACACCGAUGGCGAAGGCAGCCCCCUGGGAUGUGACUGACGCUCAUGUACGAAAGCGUGGGGAGCAAACAGGAUUAGAUACCCUGGUAGUCCACGCCCUAAACGAUGUCUACUAGUUGUCGGGUCUUAAUUGACUUGGUAACGCAGCUAACGCGUGAAGUAGACCGCCUGGGGAGUACGGUCGCAAGAUUA
rnacentral:rRNA from 1 species